rnacentral:rRNA from 1 species
GUCGAGCGGCGGACGGGUGAGUAAUGCCUGGGAAAUUGCCCUGAUGUGGGGGAUAACCAUUGGAAACGAUGGCUAAUACCGCAUAAUAGCUACGGCUCAAAGAGGGGGACCUUCGGGCCUCUCGCGUCAGGAUAUGCCCAGGUGGGAUUAGCUAGUUGGUGAGGUAAGGGCUCACCAAGGCGACGAUCCCUAGCUGGUCUGAGAGGAUGAUCAGCCACACUGGAACUGAGACACGGUCCAGACUCCUACGGGAGGCAGCAGUGGGGAAUAUUGCACAAUGGGCGCAAGCCUGAUGCAGCCAUGCCGCGUGUAUGAAGAAGGCCUUCGGGUUGUAAAGUACUUUCAGCAGUGAGGAAGGCGGAGUCGUUAAUAGCGGCCUUGUUUGACGUUAGCUGCAGAAGAAGCACCGGCUAACUCCGUGCCAGCAGCCGCGGUAAUACGGAGGGUGCGAGCGUUAAUCGGAAUUACUGGGCGUAAAGCGCAUGCAGGUGGAUGAUUAAGUCAGAUGUGAAAGCCCGGGGCUCAACCUCGGAAUAGCAUUUGAAACUGGUCAUCUAGAGUACUGUAGAGGGGGGUAGAAUUUCAGGUGUAGCGGUGAAAUGCGUAGAGAUCUGAAGGAAUACCGGUGGCGAAGGCGGCCCCCUGACAGAUACUGACACUCAGAUGCGAAAGCGUGGGGAGCAAACAGGAUUAGAUACCCUGGUAGUCCACGCCGUAAACGAUGUCUACUUGGAGGUUGUGGCCUUGAGCCGUGGCUUUCGGAGCUAACGCGUUAAGUAGACCGCCUGGGGAGUACGGUCGCAAGAUUAAAACUCAAAUGAAUUGACGGGGGCCCGCACAAGCGGUGGAGCAUGUGGUUUAAUUCGAUGCAACGCGAAGAACCUUACCUACUCUUGACAUCCUCAGAAGAGACUGGAGACAGUCUUGUGCCUUCGGGAACUGAGAGACAGGUGCUGCAUGGCUGUCGUCAGCUCGUGUUGUGAAAUGUUGGGUUAAGUCCCGCAACGAGCGCAACCCUUAUCCUUGUUUGCCAGCACUUCGGGUGGGAACUCCAGGGAGACUGCCGGUGAUAAACCGGAGGAAGGUGGGGACGACGUCAAGUCAUCAUGGCCCUUACGAGUAGGGCUACACACGUGCUACAAUGGCGCAUACAGAGGGCAGCCAACUUGCGAAAGUGAGCGAAUCCCAAAAAGUGCGUCGUAGUCCGGAUUGGAGUCUGCAACUCGACUCCAUGAAGUCGGAAUCGCUAGUAAUCGUGGAUCAGAAUGCCACGGUGAAUACGUUCCCGGGCCUUGUACACACCGCCCGUCACACCAUGGGAGUGGGCUGCAAAAGAAGUGGGUAG